CCUACGGGAGGCUGCAGUAGGGAAUAUUAGAAAUGGACGAAAGUCUGAUCUAGCAACACCGCGUGUGCGAAGAAGGCCUUCGGGUCGUAAAGCACUUUUUGGAAGGAAUAGGAAGGAAUGUACUUCCAGAAUAAGUCUCGGCUAACUACGUGCCAGCAGCCGCGGUAACACGUAGGAGGCAAACGUUAUCCGGAUUUACUGGGCGUAAAGCGCGUGUAGGUGGUACUGUAAGUAGGGCGUGAAAGCUACUGGCUCAACUGGGAGAGGCCGUUCUAAACUACAGAACUAGAGGGUGGUAGAGGGAGGUGGAAUUCCAGGUGUAGCGGUGGAAUGCGCAGAUAUCUGGAGGAACACCGGUGGCGAAGGCGGCCUCCUGGACCAUUCCUGACACUCAGACGCGAAAGCUAGGGUAGCAAACGGGAUUAGAUACCCGAGUAGUCC
rnacentral:rRNA from 1 species